AGAAAAGUAAGCUAACAAAGCUAAUGGGUUCAUACCCCAUCAAUAGAGUAUAACACUCUCUUCUCUA
rnacentral:tRNA from 3 species